rnacentral:tRNA from 1 species
GAGGGUAUAGCUCAGUGGUAGAGUGCGUGCAUAGCAUGCAUAAGGUCCUGGGUUCACAACCCCAGUAUCACCA